GGAUGCGAUCAUACCAGCACUAAAGCACCGGAUCCCAUCAGAAUUCCGAAGUUAAGCGUGCUUGGGCGAGAGUAGUACUAGGAUGGGUGACCUCCUGGGAAGUCCUCGUGUUGCAUUCC
rnacentral:rRNA from 1 species